CAUUAGGAAGUAUUGAAGUAAAACUUAGGAGAACUUUUAAAAUGUCUUUUUCUAGUUACAAAACAAGAUGUGAGUUUGAGUAACCUUUGGAAUAAGAUGGGGGAAGCAGCAAGAGAAAAAUGACUUAGGUAGUGAGGAUGGGAGGGAGGUAGUCAGAUUUGGUUCCGAGUAUACGAGCUUUGGUGUCGGGGAAGCACUCAAAGCCUGGGAGUUCUGUCACUUCCCCUUCACUGGUUAUGCCAAUCGGAUAGCGGAGGAGGUGACCGGGCAAGUCCCUUUCUAGUGAUUCACUUGAAUACAUAUCCCAAUACUUAUCAGCAAUUCUGUUAACCUUUGCAACACAUUCUUCACUUUCUGGACGAAGGAAAGUUUCGUCAAGCAUACCAAGAUGUUCAUACCAUAGAGCCA
rnacentral:lncRNA from 1 species